UGUCAUUGAGAAUUUACUCAGUAGGCUUGAUAACAGUGACAGUUUUCGGUCAUGCUCUCAUGUAAAAAAAUUUUUCAUGCACAUUUUAUUAAUACGCGAACGUGAUUAAUAAAUAUACGUAUUUUAUUAAUAUAAAAGACAACAAUGCAACAAAAACGCAAGGGGAUAGUUUGAGUCGUCGAACACUCAAAUCUAGAAGCAUGCAAGAUAGAAGAGCACAAAUAUCAGAUGAAGAAAGGCAACAAAGCAAUACAUAUGUCCGUGUAAGCAUGGCGCAGUUACGUGCAUCACAAUUGCAAGAGGCACGAGAUGAGCGAAACCAGCAAAGACAAUUAGAACGAAGAGAAGCGCGCAGAUUCGUAGUCAACAGCCAUAAAGGAAUUGACCGACAGCGUCAACAAGUGCAUUGAGUUUACAGCACAUUCCAAAGUGGUCAUUGGUACAUUGGACAAAGAAUGCCCGCACUGCCAUGCCUUUAAAUUUAAAAAUGAGCCGAUCGCGAUGUGUUGCUCAUCAGGAAAAGUAAUACGUAAAUACGCACAAAUACGUAAUAAUGUAAAAUUUAUAAGCUUCUGUGUGGCCAGUGUCUUUUGCUCCAUUAGCAUUUGCUGGUCUUAUCAUAAAGUUUAGUCUACUUCCCUGGAUAAAGAUAUAUGAAAAAAGUUUAGUUUAAUUUUUUGGGUUUUUUUUCGUUGCUCCGCCGAAGUCUAUUAUUAAAUUAUAUAACUUGUAAUUUGACUGUCUCAAAAUUUCUUAAUGACUUAUAUAUACUUAUAUAUACUUUUCUACCAAGUCCAUGGAUUUAACAUUGAAAAACUUUGUAUAAUUUUCAAAAAUUUUCAAAAUCAAUUUUGGCUCCGAUAACUAUUUACGAUAAAUUUGUUAGACGUGCACUAUCGAUAACUCUUCGAGAUGGUCGAAUAACAGCUGUAGUUGCUGAGGUAAAAGUAGACCAAUUCUAGUAUUUCUACUUUGGCGCAUUUAGUAUAUUUUCUUGCAGUAGAAAAUCGGUCUAUUAAUUUAACGGUAUGACACUAUACUUUCGGAAAAUGGUUAACGAAAAUGGUUUUAACACUGUUAUGCUUUACAAUCCCAAUCCUCAGCUAAUCCUAAUCGGAUUAAAUACCAUUAACGGUUUUUUCAAAAUUAACAAGUAGUAUAGAUAUAAUUCUAUGGGUUAAAAUAAUAAUAAUAUUUCAAAUCAACACGUUUGAAAAUAGGGCAAUAAAUACCUCAUUAAAUAAAGAUUAAUAAAUUCGGCCGUAACAUUGUGUGAGCAAUAACGGCAUCGAACACAAAUAUGAAUUGCUUUAAGCAGAGUAAUUUUGAAUCAUUUGGACGCAUGCGCCUUUAUCCGAAAUAUACACUGUUAGCUUAACAGACCGAUUUACAUAAAAUAACUGUUAAAUCGUAAAGCAUCACUAUCACGACUGACCUGAUGUCGCGGAGUAGUCCCCGGUUGAGUAGAUUAUGCAAAGCGUAGACAAAAUAAAACGUGCAAAGCAGCUCCCCAGCAAGCAUUUGGAAGACUGUUUUAACAGAAAUCUUGAUAAGUGUUUUUUGAGUCCCCUUGACGAUUAAAAAACGACUAAUCUCCUGGGCGAUUGAAAGAAGACUCAUAAAUGACCCUUCCAUAUGCUCAAAGUAUGAUUGCUUUCAAAUACAAAAACGAAAUGCAAAGCAAUCGCCAAAUGAGCAUGCAGGUGAUUAAAAUAUGAUCAUUGCUUGGUUUUGCUUUGUUACUAUGCACUUAUAUUCUGCUUGCUUGGCUGAUCCAAAAACGAUUCUAAGCUUAGAUCUAUGUAAGUUAAACGGCACUUUUUCUUAAGCACAUGCCGAAAUGUUUAAAUUUUGUCAUUCGAUCGUGAAGUGCAAGUGCGAAGUGCAAACAUACAUAAACAUAUCAAAUAAAAAGAUAUUACUAAUGAAAAAUAUAAAUGCACGGACAAAGAUUUGAAUACGGAGCUACAAAAGCAUUUUGUCCAUGCCAAUGACAGGCUGGCGAAGCGUAGGCGUUUAGAGUAAUAUAAAACAUACAUGUAAAUAAUAUUG